UCCUACGGGGGGCAGCAGUGGGGGAUAUUGCACAAUGGGGGAAACCCUGAUGCAGCGACGCCGCGUGGGUGAAGAAGCGCCUCGGCGCGUAAAGCCCUGUCAGCAGGGAAGAAAAUGACGGUACCUGAAGAAGAAGCCCCGGCUAACUACGUGCCAGCAGCCGCGGUAAUACGUAGGGGGCAAGCGUUAUCCGGAUUUACUGGGUGUAAAGGGGGCGCAGACGGCGAUGCAAGCCAGGAGUGAAAGCCCGGGGCCCAACACCGGGACUGCUCUUGGAACUGCGUGGCUAGAUAGCAGGAGGGGCG
rnacentral:rRNA from 1 species